UACGUAGGGGGCAAGCGUUGUCCGGAUUUAUUGGGCGUAAAGAGCGUGUAGGCGGCCAGGUAGGUCUGCUGUGAAAACUCGAGGCUUAACCUCGAGCUGUCGGCGGAAACCAUCUGGCUAGAGUCCGGAAGAGGAGAAUGGAAUUCCUGGUGUAGCGGUGAAAUGCGUAGAGAUCAGGAAGAACAUCGGUGGCGAAGGCGCUCUGCUGGACCAUAACUGACACUCAGGGACGAAAGCUAGGGGAGCGAAUGGG
rnacentral:rRNA from 1 species